rnacentral:lncRNA from 1 species
CUGCUCUCCGUGACCCUAUUGUACGUGUGGAUAAAAUGUGAAGCUGGUUAAUGAAAAAACUUUAAAGGAUAGUUUUAGCCAUGUCGUAAUGAGAGUCAUGUGACAGUGGUGAAGCAGGUGACGUUAAUAAAUCAGAGAUUUUUCCCUUUGCAUAAAUAACCACUAAUGCCUAAUACACAUAUGUAUAUUUAUAUACUUUUGAAUUUAUUUUAAUGAAUCGACUAAGUUGCCACUAAUAUAGAUGUAUAUUUUGUACUUAUAUUUUGCUUGUAUUUGGUUGCAUUUGGGAUUAGGAAAUGAGAAGAUAAAACAUAAAGUGAAAACCUCUAAAAUUUAGUUUUAAAGUAAAAACACUUGCAAUGUAUAAUGCUUUAAAUGUCAAAUAUUUGAAUAUUUUAGUAACUAUUAGGUUCAGUUUUGAAAAAUUUUAAUGUAAGAUGUUAAUAAUGAUAGAUAAUUGAUUUAGAUUGAUUUAGAGAAUUUUUCAUUUUAAAUGCAUUUAAAAUUUAAGAAGAUACAUCAUUGCAUCUAUGGUAGUCAAACUAAGGAUAAAAAUUUAACAUUCAUUUAGCAUUGGAGUUUUUCUUUUUUUGAAUAAUACUUUAAUCACUACUUUCUUCACUCCUUAGUAAGCAUCUGCAAAGAUAUAUUAAAAUCUAACAUAAACUACUGGAUGUAUUUUGAAAUCUGCACAGCAAUAAAACUUUAAUAUAUUUUCCA